UUUUUUUAUAAUGUAUUAUCAAAUUUAAGCCAAGUCAGUAAUAUUUGCAUAAGUCAAAGAAUUGUUUUAAAAAAACCAUAACAUUCCCUCCUGAAAAAAAGAAUAUGAAUCAUGAGGUAUUUUACAUAGCAGUAUCUAACUUUUCUACUGCCCGUGUUAUUUAUGGCUAUAUUCUCUCAGACUGGGCACAUUAAAAAUAUGUAUUUAUAUUAGAUAUGUGUAUUUUCCAUGCAAGUGCCAAAUUGUCUUAUGUCUGGUAAAUGGCAAAUUUACUAUCUAGAAGUACCUCAUUGUUUGUCAUUAUUUAUGUGCUAUCAUUAUGCAUCCUCUGAAGUAUUACUGAAGUGUAAAUGUGUAUGUAAUGAAAAAAUGAUUUAACUUCAUUAAUGAAAUUUAAAUAUAUUUUUUUAUAUUCCCCAAAUUUAAAUUUGACAUUCAUACAUAUUUCUUACUUACAGAAGAGAGAUGUUCCUGAUUAUUUAUGUGGUAAAAUAAGUUUUGAUAUUAUGAGAGAACCUGUAAUAACUCCAAGUGGUAUUACAUAUGAUAGAAAAGAUAUUGAAGAGCAUCUACAGAGAGUGGGGCAUUUUGAUCCAGUAACAAGAACUCCUCUUGUCCAAGAACAGUUAAUUCCAAAUCUGGCUUUGAAGGAGGUUAUUGAUGCUUUUAUUGCAGAGAAUGAAUGGGUUGUUGAUUAUUAGGUUUUAAUUGGUUAUAUUCUUUUACUGCUUUUUGAGAACAGUGAGUAAAUAUAAACAAUAUAUUCUUUGCUUUCUCCUUCUUCCUUUUGUCUGUGCAUUUGUUCCAUGAAAUUGUAUUCUGAAGUUUGCUUUUUAAAUUGUGAAGUAAAAUAAGUUUAUUGAUAAUAUUAGUGACAUACAAUUGCUUACAGAAUCAAUAUUUUGUAUUGUCAAAAGUUCAAGUAAAGAAAUCUUUAAAAAGAAAGUUAUAUAUUUACAAAUGUAUAGAUUAUGUAUCUUAUCAUGCCUCUGUCUGUUUAAAAUUUAUUAAUGUUAUAAAGAUUUAAAUUUAUUAGUGUUACAAAAUGCAUUUAUUAAUCAUAUUAACUAAAAAGUGACGUUAAUGAAAAUCUGUUCAAAAUGUUAAAUUGUAAUCUGAAGUUUGAUACAUGAUUAUUAAAAUAGUUUUGUGCAUAGACUGUUGUAUGCCAUUAAAAUGAUAAAAUAUUGUAAGAUUUUAUGUAUAUACUAUGUGAAAUCUGAUACAGUAUGAAAAUUUUAUUCAGUAGUUAAUUUCUUAUUUGUCUGAAUAUUUUUUUAUUUUCUUUUUUAAAAUAUAAAUCUGUCUUUUACUGAUUAUACAUUUAAAUAUAAAAUAAAAUAUUUUCUCUUCUUCUGCCAGAAUUUGAAAGUGAUUUAGUUAAAAAAUUACCAUCCAUAAAAUUAUCUAACUCUCUUUCUUCUGUCAGGAUUUUAGUUAUUUCAAUUUUUUUCUUCUCUUCAGCUUUGGUUCUUCAUACUUUCAGAAUAUCCACCAAAUUCAUCAUCAAAUUCCAAAGCAAACUGAUGAGAGAUGAUAUGUUUUUGCAGUGUGUUUGUAGGGGUAAAGGGUAAAAGUAUCUUAGAUAAACAAAAUUGGCUUAUCUCACAGGCUGUUCCAAGGGUAUUUCAAAGACAGUCUCUUUUCGACAAAACUUGUGAAACCACCACCUCUCUUUCAUUUCACAACCCUCUUAAAUCUCGCCUGUGCAGCUGGUGUUUUCUGUAUUUUGUUCAUUUCCUGAAGGAAAAUCUUUUUGUGAUAAAAGAAAGAAAAAAAGCAUGAAAAUUCAUAGUAGUUUUUUAGAACCGUUGUAUUAUUUCGUGUUAACUGAUUAUUUCGCGUUAAACGUAUUUCACUGUAAUUCUUUUGGGGGGGAGGGGAGUGCAGGGGUAGGUUAAUGUAGUUGCCAAAAUGAAAAAUACUAGAUUUUUGUUUGGUUGAAUUAUUCUGUUUGUUGCUGUCUCAAGUUUAUUGCCAGGUUCAUUGUAGUAAAUCCAAGUUCUGAAGUUUUGUUUUUAAAGACUCUUUUAAAUGCAAUAAUAUUUUUUCACUGAAAGCAUAAAUGUAUUGAGAACCAAAAUUUAAAUACACAUUCAUAAAUAAGAUAGUAGUUAAAUAUAACAACAUUUCUUUUCAUGUCUAGAAGAUAUAUAUAUGUCUUUCUAUUUAGAAAAUCAGUAUGAACAAGCAUUUUUUUUUUUUUUUUUUUUUUUUUUUUUUUGGAGGAAAAAGAAAAUUGGUUUAGUCAUGCAAUUUUAUUUUCUGUAUUAAAAAGGCAAGUAGAAAUCUCAAGUAUCUGCUACUUUGAACAAAUCCUUACUUUAUUAUUGUCAUGGUUGGCUGUUUCUGGCUUUGGCUUUUUUCUUUUUUUAAAAAAGAAGUUUACUUAAUUAUUACUGAUCUAGUCAGAUAUGCGAAUGUGAUAGUUGAAUUAUUUACCUAUACAAUGUGGCAACUGAAUAAUAAAAUUGAUUUAUUAAUGAAAAUUUUUGCACUUUCACACCAAUAUAUAUAUCAAAAGCAGAAGUAUACAGCUGGGGUGGGAAUGGAAAGAGAUUUGUUUUAGUAUUAAAUAAUAGAUGUCUUCUCUGUCAAAAAAGGUGUUUUUGCAAAGCUUUGGAAACCAGUUUUUUUUUUUAAGAAGGUAAUUACAAGAAAGCAAACAUGGUAAAUAUGAGGGCUUAAAUAUUAGCUUUUCAAGGAUUUUAAAAAUGACAAUAUCAUUAUUCAAUUGCUACAUUUUUUAAGUUUAUAGAAGCUGGAAAAAAUAAAUUUUUUUAAACCUAAAAAAAAAAAAAAAAAAAAAAAAAAAAAAAACUUAGGGAAUAAGUUGUU
rnacentral:lncRNA from 1 species